CAGCCGCCGCGGUAAUACGGAGGGAGCUAGCGUUAUUCGGAAUUACUGGGCGUAAAGCGCACGUAGGCGGCUUUGUAAGUUAGAGGUGAAAGCCUGGAGCUCAACUCCAGAAUUGCCUUUAAGACUGCAUCGCUUGAAUCCAGGAGAGGUGAGUGGAAUUCCGAGUGUAGAGGUGAAAUUCGUAGAUAUUCGGAAGAACACCAGUGGCGAAGGCGGCUCACUGGACUGGUAUUGACGCUGAGGUGCGAAAGCGUGGGGAGCAAACAGGAUUAGAUACCCCGGUAGUCCCUGUCUCUUAUAC
rnacentral:rRNA from 1 species